UACAGAGGUCUCAAGCGUUGUUCGGAUUCAUUGGGCGUAAAGGGUGCGUAGGCGGCGCGGUAAGUCGGGUGUGAAAUCUUGGAGCUUAACUCCGAAACUGCAUUCGAUACUGCCGUGCUUGAGGACUGGAGAGGAGACUGGAAUUUACGGUGUAGCGGUGAAAUGCGUAGAUAUCGUAAGGAAGAACCAGUGGCGAAGGCGGGUCUCGUGGACAGUUCCUGACGCUGAGGCACGAAGGCCAGGGGGAGCAAACGGG
rnacentral:rRNA from 1 species